rnacentral:rRNA from 1 species
CCCGCACAAGCGGUGGAGCAUGUGGUUUAAUUCGACGCAACGCGAAGAACCUUACCUGGAUUUGACAUCCCGGGGAUCUUUCUGAAAGGAUUGAGUGCCCUUCGGGGAGCCCGGUGACAGGUGCUGCAUGGCUGUCGUCAGCUCGUGUCGUGAGAUGUUGGGUUAAGUCCCGCAACGAGCGCAACCCUUAUCUUUAGUUACCAUCAUUAAGUUGGGGACUCUAAAGAUACUGCCCCGGUUAACGGGGAGGAAGGUGGGAUGACGUCAAGUCCUCAUGGCCUUUAUGUCUAGGGCUACACACGUACUACAAUGGCCGGUACAAAGGGCAGCCACUCAGCGAUGAGGCGCUAAUCCCAUAAAGCCGGUCUCAGUCCGGAUCGCAGUCUGCAACUCGACUGCGUGAAGUUGGAAUCGCUAGUAAUCGUAGAUCAGCAUGCUACGGUGAAUACGUUCCCGGGCCUU